rnacentral:rRNA from 1 species
GACAGAGGGGGCAAGCGUUGCUCGGAAUUACUGGGCGUAAAGGGCGCGUAGGCGGGAUGGCAAGUCGGUCGUGAAAUCCCUCGGCUCAACCGAGGAACGUCGAUCGAUACUGCUGUUCUUGAGGAUUGCAGAGGAGACUGGAAUUCCCGGUGUAGCGGUGAAAUGCGUAGAGAUCGGGUGGAACACCAGCGGCGAAGGCGGCAUCCUGGCCCUGUACUGACGCUGAGGCGCGAUAGCGUGGGGAGCAAACGGG